AAACUCUGUGUACGCCUCUGAAAAGUAAUUAAAAACCAUUAAUCAUUCUAAACAAAUUUUGUUUAGAACACAGAGAAGAGAUUUGCGGUACUUGGCCAAAAACUUGAUCAACAGACAGCAAUAGAGGGAGCUGCUUGCAGCGGUGUUCCCAUUAGGAAGCUUGUCAGUAACCUACAGGAAAUAAAGCGCGAGUACGCCGAGGUUUCAAGUGAACUCGAGAAAAUAAAAGAAGAACAGAAACUAGCAAUGGAGAUUUUUUUUAAGGAAUUUGACUCUGUUGCUACAGCCUUAGAAUCUCUUCAGAGUCGGAAAUGAAAUUUGUGUACAAAACAUAUGUGUACAAAACAUAUGUGUACAAAGCAUGUAAUAUUGAAAAAAAUUCAGCUUUUUUGUUGUCCAGUUUUAAGAAGUUUAUUAAACUACAAUUUUGUAACCGAAGAAAUAAUUUUUUAUUGAAAAGCAUUUCUGAUAUUAUUCGGAAAUAGUAAAGGUUGAGAUAACAAAGAAAAUAAAACGAAAUUACAGAAAUAUGCUUUUGGGUUAAAACAUCUUGCCUCUUCAUGUUCAGUUUUCAUCUAGUUCCCUCAGAUCAUUGAUAAUCCUAAAAGUAUAUAUAUGCUACUUGAAUCCAUAGGAUUAUGAUUUAUGACCUCGCACUUUAAAUUGCUAAUAAGACUUUUUUUUAUGAAUAAACGUGAAAUACUAG